rnacentral:rRNA from 1 species
UAGGGAAUAUUGGACAAUGGGCGCAAGCCUGAUCCAGCCAUGCCGCGUGAGUGAUGAAGGCCCUAGGGUUGUAAAGCUCUUUCACCGGUGAAGAUAAUGACGGUAACCGGAGAAGAAGCCCCGGCUAACUUCGUGCCAGCAGCCGCGGUAAUACGAAGGGGGCUAGCGUUGUUCGGAUUUACUGGGCGUAAAGCGCACGUAGGCGGACUUUUAAGUCAGGGGUGAAAUCCCGGGGCUCAACCCCGGAACUGCCUUUGAUACUGGAAGUCUUGAGUAUGGUAGAGGUGAGUGGAAUUCCGAGUGUAGAGGUGAAAUUCGUAGAUAUUCGGAGGAACACCAGUGGCGAAGGCGGCUCACUGGACCAUUACUGACGCUGAGGUGCGAAAGCGUGGGGAGCAAACA